CACUGUGAAGCUUACCUAGCAUUAACCUUUUAAGUUGAAGACUGAAAGCAUUAACCUUUCCACAGUGA
rnacentral:tRNA from 1 species